rnacentral:rRNA from 1 species
UACGAAGGGGGCUAGCGUUGCUCGGAAUCACUGGGCGUAAAGGGUGCGUAGGCGGGUUUUUAAGUCAGAGGUGAAAUCCUGGAGCUCAACUCCAGAACUGCCUUUGAUACUGAAGAUCUUGAGUUCGGGAGAGGUGAGUGGAACUGCGAGUGUAGAGGUGAAAUUCGUAGAUAUUCGCAAGAACACCAGUGGCGAAGGCGGCUCACUGGCCCGAUACUGACGCUGAGGCACGAAAGCGUGGGGAGCAAACAGGG